rnacentral:rRNA from 1 species
AUUCCAGCUCCAAGAGCGUAUAUUAAAGUUGUUGCAGUUAAAAAGCUCGUAGUUGGAUUUCUGGUACAAUGCGCCUGGCCCGCUUAUGUGAGUGCCGGUGCGCGUUUACCAUCCUUCUAGAAAUCGUUUCUACCUGGGUUUCCUGGAGUGGACUCGCGAUCUAGAUCUUUUACUUUGAAAAAAUUAGAGUGUUUAAAGCAGGCUUUUGCUGUGAAUACAUUAGCAUGGAAUAAUAAUCUAGGACUUCGGUUCUAUUUUGUUGGUUUCUAGUACUGAAGUAAUGAUUGAUAGGGAUAGUUGGGGGUGCUAGUAUUGGCCGGCCAGAGGUGAAAUUCUUGGAUUCGGUCAAGACUAACUUAUGCGAAAGCAUUCACCAAGGAUGUCUUCAUCG